rnacentral:rRNA from 1 species
UAAAAACCCCGACUUCGGAAGGGGUGUAUUUAUUAGAUAUAAAACCAAUGCCCUUCGGGGCUCUUUGGUGAUUCAUGAUAACUAUACGAAUCGCACGGCCUUGCGCCGGCGAUGGUUCAUUCAAAUCUCUUCCCUAUCAACUUUCGAUGUUUGGGUAUUGGCCAAACAUGGUUGCAACGGGUAACGGAGGGUUAGGGCUCGACCCCGGAGAAGGAGCCUGAGAAACGGCUACUACAUCCAAGGAAGGCAGCAGGCGCGCAAAUUACCCAAUCCCGACUCGGGAAGGUAGUGACAAUAAAUACUGAUACAGGGCCCUUUCGGGCCUUGUAAUCGGAAUGAGUACAAUUUAAAUCCCUUAACGAGGAACAAUUGGAGGGCAAGUCUGGUGCCAGCAGCCGCGGUAAUUCCAGCUCCAAUAGCGUAUAUUAAAGUUGUUGUGGUUAAAAAGCAAGUACUUGAACCUUGGGCCUGGCUGGCCGGUCCGCCUCACCCCCUGCACUGGCCCGGCCGGGCCUUUCCCUCUCUGUAACCGCAACCCCAUCCCUUUCCGUGGGCGGGGAAACAGAACAGGACUUU